rnacentral:rRNA from 1 species
UUCGCCUUCAUGAAGCUGGAAUUGCUAGUAAUGGCAGGUCAGCAUACUGCCGUGAAUACGUUCCCGGGCCUUGUACACACCGCCCGUCACACCAUGAGAGUUGGGAAUACCCGAAGCCUGUGAGCUAACAUAUGAGGCAGCAGUCGAAGGUAGAAUCAAUGAUUGGGGUGAAGUCGUAACAAGGUACC